rnacentral:rRNA from 1 species
UACGGAGGGAGCUAGCGUUGUUCGGAAUCACUGGGCGUAAAGCGCACGUAGGCGGCUUUGUAAGUUAGAGGUGAAAGCCCGGGGCUCAACUCCGGAACUGCCUUUAAGACUGCAUCGCUUGAAUCUGGGAGAGGUAAGUAGAAUUCCGAGUGUAGAGGUGAAAUUCGUAGAUAUUCGGAAGAACACCAGUGGCGAAGGCGGCUUACUGGACCAGAAUUGACGCUGAGGUGCGAAAGCGUGGGGAGCAAACAGG